rnacentral:rRNA from 1 species
UACGUAGGGUGCGAGCGUUAAUCGGAAUUACUGGGCGUAAAGUGUGCGCAGGCGGCCGCGCAAGUCGAGUGUGAAAGCCCCGAGCUUAACUUGGGAAUUGCGCUCGAAACUACGUGGCUGGAGUGUGGCAGAGGAAGGUGGAAUUCCACGUGUAGCGGUGAAAUGCGUAGAGAUGUGGAGGAACACCGAUGGCGAAGGCAGCCCCCCUGGGUCAACACUGACGCUCAUGCACGAAAGCGUGGGGAGCAAACAGG